CGUACAUCCAACCAACCCGAGCCGGAUGCGCAGCCACCCCACGACCCCACGUCCAACCGUGACCUAACCUAUCCAUUCCUCCCCCACCCCACGACCUCUCCUCUCCUCUCCCUCCCAGCCGCCGUCAGAUCCGCCAUGCCCACAGCACUCUCUGCUCCACCCAAACCCUACCCACAGCCGCCGCCAUGCUCCGUCACCGGCGACCUCGCCGCCGCCACCCCUCUCCCCUUGCCCUAUCUCCAUACCGCACGCGAGGGAGGGAGGGAGGCCCCAAAUCGAAGCGAGCAGCAGCUUCCGGUUCCAGAUCGAGAGGGGCCCCAAAUCCUCACCUUCCUCUGCCCCUUGGCUCCUCUGUGUCGCCCUACCCCUCGGCUCCCGCGACGCCGAGCCGGACGGGAGGAGCCACCGCCCCACAGCACGCGCGCGCCGGUAGGGCGAGGGGAUCGAUGGCGAAGCUGUAUGUGCAGGCGGUGCCCCCGCCGGAUCUGAACAAGAACACCGAGUGGUUCAUGUACCUGGGGGUCUGGACCACCUACAUCUUCAUCCUCUUCGUCUCCUGGCUCCUCAUCCUCUCCAUCUUCGGCUGCACCCCCGGCAUGGCCUGGACGCUCGUCAACCUCGGCCACUUCGCGAUUACAUACCACUUCUUCCACUGGAAGAAGGGAACUCCAUCUGCAAGAGAAUCCGUGAAGAAGAGCAACGACCAGAUCCUCGCCUUCAACAAGGUGUGAGGAGGAGCCUGUGGCUGAGACUGCAUCAGCACAGAUGCUGCAACCCAUCACAGCGAGUUCCUCGGCCUCUGUUACGGCCGAUGCAGCAGUAACUCAGGACACCAUUCAUGCCACGCUGCCACUUCUACAUUUUCUUUCUCUUUUCUAGUUACUUAUGUGAUUUAUUCCUGGUACUUGUUGCUGUUGUAUUCUGAUUACUUGUUGUGACCGGUAUUGAGAGAUUUUGGUGGUUGCUUUGAGUACAUUUAACUUGGAGUUCUCCAGUACUCCUAGAUUUGCUACUCAAACAAAUUUUGAGUACUUGCACUGGAAAGGAGUGAAAUACUCCUGGUACUUGCAUAGGUUUAAAAAUGACUUGCGUAGGUUUAAAAAUACUCCUGGUACUUGUGGUGAAACCAACAAGCAACUUGCUAACCUCUUUCAGUGUUCAAUCAUCUUUUCAUUCUUAAAUUUCAGUGUUCAAUUUCAGAUUAUACAAACUGGAAGUGUCUGUUGUUCUUUUUCUUUUUUGAACUAAACUAGAAGUAGGAAUUCAUUUUAUUGGGUUAGUGUUGUAAAUUGUCGAUGUUUCCUUUUUGUUAUUGGCUUAUUGCUUGCUUCAUUUGGACAGCUACAACUGAAAUUAUUAUGAUGCCAUAUUUUUUAUAUUACUCCAUGCUCACCAAGUUAUUGAGUUGAAGUUGUCGUUGUUUGCUGUCAAGAUUUGCUUAGCCUGAAUACAUGGUUAUGUUUUUGUGUACUACUGUCCUGUUGUCUCUGUUGGAUGGACAGCAUCCCAGUACAAGUACUUGCUAGGUUUUACCUGUUCAUGCAAAUCUUGUUGGGUGUUGCAACACUUGGAUUAUUUAUUAAUAUAACCAAGCAGCGAUGCUUCCAUUUUAACACAUCUAUUAGUGUGCUAAAACUACUAAAGUACCUGCUUCUUCUUACCCAGAGUAGUACAUCAGGCUUGUAUUAACUUGUAUCAACUGUAUUAACUUGUAGCCUAGUCACUGCAGUCAUCUUGUGCUUUUAUCUUCUCUGUGAUGUCAUGUCCUUUGAGUCUACUUAUUAAAAACCUUAUGCUCAUAUUUCUUUUUACUACCUCUAUUUCCAUAAACGUGACAUUGUUUUGUUUCUAAAUACUUGAUGCAUACAAGUUUGAGGGCAUUAUCCUAAACCACUGCUCUGGUUCAUCCAUCUCCUAUACUUUGUUACUUGUGCUUAAUUGAGAUGUUACUCAAGGGUAGUGUUUGGGCCAGCAUAUAUAAAGGGUAUGGUCGCUUACUUUAAUAUGUGUGUUUACUCAAAACAGUCAAAAUAUCUAUAAAGAGAGUGAACUCACUUCAUGGAUUCUUUCAAUCUUCAAUGGUUAUGGUUUUUGCAUUAUAGAUUCUUAAUCUCGGCUGAUUUCAGACUCUUCCAAGUGCUAGCUAGCUCCAAAAGCAAAUCAUAUUCAUUUGGAAGAUGCAACAUUCUAUCAGAAUUCAUUCUCCUGCUCUUUUUCGUGUACUUAAUGUCAUCCAUUCUUCAAACCUGUUGGUUAAGUUCUUAUAGUGUGUCGCUUUGUUCGGAACUGUAUUUUUGUUUUAGGAUUUGCUUCUUGUGUGGUACUGGAUGGCGGAGUAUUUAAACAAUUUGGUUACUAUCGGAAGCACUUUAAUUCUAUGGAAUGAAACUUUGACAAGCAUGCAUAUAUAUGUGUUCAAAUUUUCUGGAUUAUGUGAUGGCAUUCUAUGAUUCUGUUUAACUACUUAAGUAUAUGUAUGAAUGUGCUUGAGUCCAUGAUUUAUUUUUCUGAUUUUUGAUUUGACCUCAAGAUUAUCUUCUUAUUUCUCUUGUCCUUCUGGAGCAGCAUGAUUUGAUUCGGUACAAGGGGUUCGUCAUGCCAGGCUCCUCUUUUCUGCUGCUUCCAUGCAACGGUGGUGGCGGCUGUGUUGUUUGGCAUCGGCUACAAAAACAGCCAUGGGCGACCGAGGAAGGCAUGUUGUCUGUUUUCUUGAAGGCCGUUCUAUUUGUUCCCAGCCCUAACUACGGUUGUCUAGCUAGUUUGGCAUGUUGUUCAUAUCACUAUGGUAGUCCAACGAGUUUGGCAUGUUGUGAGUUUGGCAUGUUCAUGAUGGGAGCAGGUGCCAGUUUGUGAUUGCUUGUAAAGCUUGUAAAGUAUUGUAUUACACUUGUAGUCAUUACUGUGAUUGCCACUGUAUUACACUUGUAAGGAUCUGGUUGCUCUUAUUUGAAGUAUUAUGUGUGCUUUUUGUCUGCCCA
rnacentral:rRNA from 1 species